rnacentral:sRNA from 1 species
UUCUUCUGCUUGUUGAGGACAGAUAAAAUGAAUAUGCGUAUCAACACCGCCAGCGGUAAUAAUUUUGCCUUCACCAGCCACAACCUCGGUUGCUGGGCCAACGACGAUAUCGACAUUCGGUUGAACAUCGGGAUUACCCGCUUUACCAAUACCAAAAAUACGACCAUCUUUAAUACCAAUAUCAGCUUUUACAAUACCCCAGUGAUCGAGAAUUAAUGCGUUAGUAAUAACCACAUCAACACAUUCACUAUUUACCACUUGGCUUUGACCCAUGCCAUCACGUA